ACGAACGCUGGCGGCGUGCCUAAUACAUGCAAGUAGAACGCUGAAGAGAGGAGCUUGCUCUUCUUGGAUGAGUUGCGAACGGGUGAGUAACGCGUAGGUAACCUGCCUUGUAGCGGGGGAUAACUAUUGGAAACGAUAGCUAAUACCGCAUAACAAUGGAUGACACAUGUCAUUUAUUUGAAAGGGGCAAUUGUUCCACUACAAGAUGGACCUGCGUUGUACUAGCUAGUAGGUGAGGUAAUGGCUCACCUAGGCGACGAUACAUAGCCGACCUGAGAGGGUGAUCGGCCACACUGGGACUGAGACACGGCCCAGACUCCUACGGGAGGCAGCAGUAGGGAAUCUUCGGCAAUGGGGGCAACCCUGACCGAGCAACGCCGCGUGAGUGAAGAAGGUUUUCGGAUCGUAAAGCUCUGUUGUAAGUCAAGAACGGGUGUGAGAGUGGAAAGUUCACACUGUGACGGUAGCUUACCAGAAAGGGACGGCUAACUACGUGCCAGCAGCCGCGGUAAUACGUAGGUCCCGAGCGUUGUCCGGAUUUAUUGGGCGUAAAGCGAGCGCAGGCGGUUUGAUAAGUCUGAAGUUAAAGGCUGUGGCUCAACCAUAGUUCGCUUUGGAAACUGUCAAACUUGAGUGCAGAAGGGGAGAGUGGAAUUCCAUGUGUAGCGGUGAAAUGCGUAGAUAUAUGGAGGAACACCGGUGGCGAAAGCGGCUCUCUGGUCUGUAACUGACGCUGAGGCUCGAAAGCGUGGGGAGCGAACAGGAUUAGAUACCCUGGUAGUCCACGCCGUAAACGAUGAGUGCUAGGUGUUGGAUCCUUUCCGGGAUUCAGUGCCGCAGCUAACGCAUUAAGCACUCCGCCUGGGGAGUACGACCGCAAGGUUGAAACUCAAAGGAAUUGACGGGGGCCCGCACAAGCGGUGGAGCAUGUGGUUUAAUUCGAAGCAACGCGAAGAACCUUACCAGGUCUUGACAUCCCGAUGCUAUUUCUAGAGAUAGAAAGUUACUUCGGUACAUCGGUGACAGGUGGUGCAUGGUUGUCGUCAGCUCGUGUCGUGAGAUGUUGGGUUAAGUCCCGCAACGAGCGCAACCCCUAUUGUUAGUUGCCAUCAUUCAGUUGGGCACUCUAGCGAGACUGCCGGUAAUAAACCGGAGGAAGGUGGGGAUGACGUCAAAUCAUCAUGCCCCUUAUGACCUGGGCUACACACGUGCUACAAUGGUUGGUACAACGAGUUGCGAGUCGGUGACGGCGAGCUAAUCUCUUAAAGCCAAUCUCAGUUCGGAUUGUAGGCUGCAACUCGCCUACAUGAAGUCGGAAUCGCUAGUAAUCGCGGAUCAGCACGCCGCGGUGAAUACGUUCCCGGGCCUUGUACACACCGCCCGUCACACCACGAGAGUUUGUAACACCCGAAGUCGGUGAGGUAACCUUUUGGAGCCAGCCGCCUAAGGUGGGACAGAUGAUUGGGGUG
rnacentral:rRNA from 1 species